rnacentral:rRNA from 1 species
UACGGGGGGAGCAAGCGUUGUUCGGAUUUACUGGGCGUAAAGGGCUUGUAGGUGGCCAACUAAGUCAGACGUGAAAUCCCUCGGCUUAACCGGGGAACUGCGUCUGAUACUGGAUGGCUAGAGAUUGGGAGAGGGAUGCGGAAUCCCAGGUGUAGCGGUGAAAUGCGUAGAUAUCUGGAGGAACACCGGUGGCGAAGGCGGCAUCCUGGACCAACACUGACACUGAAAAGCGAAAGCCAGGGGAGCAAACGGG